GACGAACGCUGGCGGCGUGCUUAACACAUGCAAGUCGAACGAGUGGCGGACGGGUGAGUAAUGUAUGGGGAUCUGCCCGAGAGAGGGGGAUAACUACUGGAAACGGUGGCUAAUACCGCAUAAUAGAGGAUGAACCCAUAUGGGAUUAGCUAGUAGGUGGGGUAAAGGCGAACCUAGGCGACGAUCCCUAGCUGGUCUGAGAGGAUGAUCAGCCACACUGGGACUGAGACACGGCCCAGACUCCUACGGGAGGCAGCAGUGGGGAAUAUUGCACAAUGGGCUCAAGCCUGAUUCAGCCAUGCCGCGUGUAUGAAGAAGGCCUUAGGGUUGUAAAGUACUUUCAGCGGGGAGGCGUUACCCGCAGAAGAAGCACCGGCUAACUCCGUGCCAGCCGCCGCGGUAAUUC
rnacentral:rRNA from 1 species